rnacentral:rRNA from 1 species
AUUGAACGCUGGCGGCAUGCUUUACACAUGCAAGUCGAACGGUAACAGGCCGCAAGGUGCUGACGAGUGGCGAACGGGUGAGUAAUGCAUCGGAACGUGCCCAGUCGUGGGGGAUAACGCAGCGAAAGCUGCGCUAAUACCGCAUACGAUCUAUGGAUGAAAGCGGGGGGACCGUAAGGCCUCGCGCGAUUGGAGCGGCCGAUGUCAGAUUAGGUAGUUGGUGGGGGUAAAAGGCUCACCAAGCCAGCGAUCUGUAGCUGGUCUGAGAGGACGACCAGCCACACUGGGACUGAGACACGGCCCAGACUCCUACGGGAGGCAGCAGUGGGGAAUUUUGGACAAUGGGCGCAAGCCUGAUCCAGCAAUGCCGCGUGCAGGA